rnacentral:tRNA from 1 species
GUCGUUGUAGUAUAGUGGUGAGUAUCCCCGCCUGUCACGUCGGAGACCCGGGUUCGAUCCCGGGCAAUGGCG